UACGGAGGGUGCAAGCGUUGUCCGGAUUUAUUGGGCGUAAAGCGAGCGCAGGUGGUUUCUUAAGUCUGAUGUAAAAGGCAGUGGCUCAACCAUUGUGUGCAUUGGAAACUGGGAGACUUGAGUGCAGGAGAGGAGAGUGGAAUUCCAUGUGUAGCGGUGAAAUGCGUAGAUAUAUGGAGGAACACCGGAGGCGAAAGCGGCUCUCUGGCCUGUAACUGACACUGAGGCUCGAAAGCGUGGGGAGCAAACAGG
rnacentral:rRNA from 1 species